AGUGAACGCUGGCGGUAGGCCUAACACAUGCAAGUCGAACGGCAGCACAGUAAGAGCUUGCUCUUACGGGUGGCGAGUGGCGGACGGGUGAGGCAUACAUCGGAAUCUACUUUUUCGUGGGGGAUAACGUAGGGACACUUACGCUACUACCGCAUACGACCUACGGGUGAAAGCAGGGGAUCUUCGGACCUUGCGCGAUUGAAUGAGCCGAUGUCGGAUUAGCUAGUUGGCGGGGUAAAGGCCCACCAAGGCGACGAUCCGUAGCUGGUCUGAGAGGAUGAUCAGCCACACUGGAACUGAGACACGGUCCAGACUCCUACGGGAGGCAGCAGUGGGGAAUAUUGGACAAUGGGCGCAAGCCUGAUCCAGCCAUACCGCGUGGGUGAAGAAGGCCUUCGGGUUGUAAAGCCCUUUUGUUGGGAAAGAAAAGCAGCAGGUUAAUACCCCGCUGUUCUGACGGUACCCAAAGAAUAAGCACCGGCUAACUUCGUG
rnacentral:rRNA from 1 species